UACGUAGGGUGCGAGCGUUGUCCGGAAUUACUGGGCGUAAAGAGCUCGUAGGUGGUUUGUCGCGUUGUUCGUGAAAUUCCCUGGCUUAACUGGGGGCGUGCGGGCGAUACGGGCAGACUGGAGUACUGCAGGGGAGACUGGAAUUCCUGGUGUAGCGGUGGAAUGCGCAGAUAUCGGGAGGAACACCGGUGGCGAAGGCGGUUCUCUGGGCCUUACCUGACACUGAGGAGCGAAAGCGUGGGGAGCGAACAGG
rnacentral:rRNA from 1 species